rnacentral:rRNA from 1 species
GAUGAACGCUGGCGGCGUGCCUAACACAUGCAAGUCGAGCGAGGGUUUGCUCAGUAUUGAGUAUUCUAAGGCUAGAAUGUUCAAUUCUGAGCAAAACCAAGCGGCGGACGGGUGAGUAACGCGUGGGUAACCUGCCCUAUACACAUGGAUAACAUACUGAAAAGUUUACUAAUACAUGAUAAUAUAUGUUUGCGGCAUCGCAGAUAUAUCAAAGUGUUAGCGGUAUAGGAUGGACCCGCGUCUGAUUAGCUAGUUGGUGAGAUAACUGCCCACCAAGGCGACGAUCAGUAGCCGACCUGAGAGGGUGAUCGGCCACAUUGGAACUGAGACACGGUCCAAACUCCUACGGGAGGCAGCAGUGGGGAAUAUUGCACAAUGGGCGAAAGCCUGAUGCAGCAACGCCGCGUGAACGAUGAAGGUCUUCGGAUCGUAAAGUUCUGUUGCAGGGGAAGAUAAUGACGGUACCCUGUGAGGAAGCCCCGGCUAACUACGUGCCAGCAGCCGCGGUAAUACGUAGGGGGCUAGCGUUAUCCGGAUUUACUGGGCGUAAAGGGUGCGUAGGUGGUCCUUCAAGUCGGUGGUUAAAGGCUACGGCUCAACCGUAGUAAGCCGCCGAAACUGGAGGACUUGAGUGCAGGAGAGGAAAGUGGAAUUCCCAGUGUAGCGGUGAAAUGCGUAGAUAUUGGGAGGAACACCAGUAGCGAAGGCGGCUUUCUGGACUGCAACUGACACUGAGGCACGAAAGCGUGGGUAGCAAACAGG